rnacentral:rRNA from 1 species
GAAUGCUGACAUAAGUAACGAUAAAGCGGGUGAAAAGCCCGCUCGCCGGAAGACCAAGGGUUCCUGUCCAACGUUAAUCGGGGCAGGGUGAGUCGACCCCUAAGGCGAGGCCGAAAGGCGUAGUCGAUGGGAAACGGGUUAAUAUUCCCGUACUUGGUGUUACUGCGAAGGGGGGACGGAGAAGGCUAUGUUGGCCGGGCGACGGUUGUCCCGGUUUAAGCGUGUAGGUGUGUGUUCCAGGUAAAUCCGGUUCACUUUAACACUGAGGCGUGAUGACGAGGCACUACGGUGCUGAAGCAACAAAUGCCCUGCUUCCAGGAAAAGCCUCUAAGCAUCAGGUAACAUCAAAUCGUACCCCAAACCGACACAGGUGGUCAGGUAGAGAAUACCAAGGCGCUUGAGAGAACUCGGGUGAAGGAACUAGGCAAAAUGGUGCCGUAACUUCGGGAGAAGGCACGCUGACACGUAGGUGAAGUGAUUUACUCAUGGAGCUGAAGUCAGUCGAAGAUACCAGCUGGCUGCAACUGUUUAUUAAAAACACAGCACUGUGCAAACACGAAAGUGGACGUAUACGGUGUGACGCCUGCCCGGUGCCGGAAGGUUAAUUGAUGGGGUCAGCGCAAGCGAAGCUCCUGAUCGAAGCCCCGGUAAACGGCGGCCGUAACUAUAACGGUCCUAAGGUAGCGAAAUUCCUUGUCGGGUAAGUUCCGACCUGCACGAAUGGCGUAAUGAUGGCCAGGCUGUCUCCACCCGAGACUCAGUGAAAUUGAACUCGCUGUGAAGAUGCAGUGUACCCGCGGCAAGACGGAAAGACCCCGUGAACCUUUACUAUAGCUUGACACUGAACAUUGAGCCUUGAUGUGUAGGAUAGGUGGGAGGCUUUGAAGUGUGGACGCCAGUCUGCAUGGAGCCGACCUUGAAAUACCACCCUUUAAUGUUUGAUGUUCUAACGUGGACCCGUGAUCCGGGUUGCGGACAGUGUCUGGUGGGUAGUUUGACUGGGGCGGUCUCCUCCUAAAGAGUAACGGAGGAGCACGAAGGUUGGCUAAUCCUGGUCGGACAUCAGGAGGUUAGUGCAAUGGCAUAAGCCAGCUUGACUGCGAGCGUGACGGCGCGAGCAGGUGCGAAAGCAGGUCAUAGUGAUCCGGUGGUUCUGAAUGGAAGGGCCAUCGCUCAACGGAUAAAAGGUACUCCGGGGAUAACAGGCUGAUACCGCCCAAGAGUUCAUAUCGACGGCGGUGUUUGGCACCUCGAUGUCGGCUCAUCACAUCCUGGGGCUGAAGUAGGUCCCAAGGGUAUGGCUGUUCGCCAUUUAAAGUGGUACGCGAGCUGGGUUUAGAACGUCGUGAGACAGUUCGGUCCCUAUCUGCCGUGGGCGCUGGAGAACUGAGGGGGGCUGCUCCUAGUACGAGAGGACCGGAGUGGACGCAUCACUGGUGUUCGGGUUGUCAUGCCAAUGGCACUGCCCGGUAGCUAAAUGCGGAAGAGAUAAGUGCUGAAAGCAUCUAAGCACGAAACUUGCCCCGAGAUGAGUUCUCCCUGAGACUUUA